GCAGUAGCCGCGGUAAUACAGAGGGUCCGAGCGUUAAUCGGAUUUACUGGGCGUAAAGCGUGCGUAGGCGGCUUCUUAAGUCGGAUGUGAAAUCCCUGAGCUUAACUUAGGAAUUGCAUUCGAUACUGGGAAGCUAGAGUAUGGGAGAGGAUGGUAGAAUUCCAGGUGUAGCGGUGAAAUGCGUAGAGAUCUGGAGGAAUACCGAUGGCGAAGGCAGCCAUCUGGCCUAAUACUGACGCUGAGGUACGAAAGCAUGGGGAGCAAACAGGAUUAGAUACCCCAGUAGUCCCUGUCUCUUAUAC
rnacentral:rRNA from 1 species